rnacentral:lncRNA from 10 species
UUCAUUUGUUGUUAUAUUUGACUGUUAAAAUUUGCUUGUGCUUUUAAAUAUGUACCAUUGGUAAUGUAUUUAAGCAAUCAGAAGUGUAAAUGAAAAUUUAUUGUCUAGGAUGACUAAAGCAAGGGUCAGUGUGGACUUUGGAAUUGAAAAGAACUGGAUUCAUAUCCCAGCUCAACCACUAACUAGAGUGAAACUCUGAACAUCAGCUUCUCAUCUGUAAACUGGAGGAGAAACCCAAGAUGCAAAAUGAGUGAAAUCAAUUUCUUUGACAUUUAUUGGGAUUUGACACCUGCAACUGCUUGUGACAGCAGUCCUGAUGUUCAAAGAAUACUGACUGCUGGACUGAGAAGGAGCCACUUCAGACAUGGUCAAAAAGAGAAGGAAAGUAAAUUUCAGAGGUGGAUCUGGGAGGCUGUCUUUUCCAGCUGGCUAGCCACGAGUAAUUCUUACCUACUGGACUGCUAAAUAGGGGAAAAGGUAAAAUAUUUAAGGUCAGCAGGGCUCAAUUCCAAGGAAAAAGAGAAAGGCUAGUUUCUUUUUUAAUUAUUAUUCUAAGAGGAAAUGUAAAAUACUGCUUUGUUUCUGCUUUACUGAAUGCAGGCUAAUGUACUGCCUGGCUCCAGCUCUGUGAUGUUUUGUUUUGUUCAUAGGAGCUUAGAGGGAAAGUAGGGCUUAUUUUCCUCCAUGGGUACACCUUUCAACUAAAGGCAAAAUAACUAAUAAUUGUGAAAUAAAUCAACUGUGAAAUCAAUUUAGGUUCAAUCUAUUUAUAUAACCAAAUUCAGCGGCUUUUUUGAGUAUGUGCAAUG